CCUACGGGUGGCAGCAGUGAGGAAUAUUGGUCAAUGGGCGAGAGCCUGAACCAGCCAAGUCGCGUGAAGGAUGACGGCCCUACGGGUUGUAAACUUCUUUUGUCAGGGAGCAAUUGAGUCCACGUAUGGGCUUAGCAAGAGUACCUGAAGACAAAGCAUCCGCUAACUCGGUGCCCGCAGCCUGGGUAAUACGGAGGAUGCGAGCGUUAUCCGGUUUUAUUGGGUAUAGAGGAUGCGUAGGCGGAAUAUAGAGUCAGCGGAAAAAACUCGGGGCGCAACCCCGGCCCGCCGUUGAAACUGGCAGUCGCGAGUUGGAGAGAAGUAUGCGGAAUGCGCGGUGUAGCGGUGAAAUGCAUAGAUAUCGCGCAGAACUCCG
rnacentral:rRNA from 1 species